rnacentral:rRNA from 1 species
CCUACGGGUGGCUGCAGUGGGGAAUCUUCCGCAAUGGGCGAAAGCCUGACGGAGCAACGCCGCGUGAGUGAAGAAGGCCUUCGGGUCGUAAAGCUCUGUCCUCAGGGAAGAAACCUCAUGGCAGGAAAUGGCCAUGAGCUGACGGUACCUGAGGAGGAAGCCCUGGCUAACUACGUGCCAGCAGCCGCGGUAAUACGUAGAGGGCAAGCGUUGUCCGGAAUCACUGGGCGUAAAGGGUACGUAGGCGGAUAUUUAAGUCAAAUGUGAAAUUCACCGGCUCAACCGGUGGUGUGCAUUUGAAACUGGAUAUCUUGAGUACAGGAGAGGAGAGCGGAAUUCCUGGUGUAGCGGUGGAAUGCGUAGAUAUCAGGAAGAACACCAGUGGCGAAGGCGGCUCUCUGGCCUGCUACUGACGCUGAGGUACGAAAGCUGGGGGAGCGAACGGGAUUAGAUACCCUAGUAGUC